rnacentral:rRNA from 1 species
AGAGUUUGAUCCUGGCUCAGGAUGAACGCUAGCUACAGGCUUAACACAUGCAAGUCGAGGGGCAGCAUCAUCAAAGCUUGCUUUGAUGGAUGGCGACCGGCGCACGGGUGAGUAACACGUAUCCAACCUGCCGACAACACUGGGAUAGCCUUUCGAAAGAAAGAUUAAUACCGGAUGGCAUAGUUUUCCCGCAUGGGAUAAUUAUUAAAGAAUUUCGGUUGUCGAUGGGGAUGCGUUCCAUUAGGCAGUUGGCGGGGUAACGGCCCACCAAACCAACGAUGGAUAGGGGUUCUGAGAGGAAGGUCCCCCACAUUGGAACUGAGACACGGUCCAAACUCCUACGGGAGGCAGCAGUGAGGAAUAUUGGUCAAUGGACGAGAGUCUGAACCAGCCAAGUAGCGUGAAGGAUGACUGCCCUAUGGGUUGUAAACUUCUUUUAUACGGGAAUAAAGUUAGCCACGUGUGGCUUUUUGUAUGUACCGUAUGAAUAAGGAUCGGCUAACUCCGUGCCAGCAGCCGCGGUAAUACGGAGGAUCCGAGCGUUAUCCGGAUUUAUUGGGUUUAAAGGGAGCGUAGGCGGGUUGUUAAGUCAGUUGUGAAAGUUUGCGGCUCAACCGUAAAAUUGCAGUUGAUACUGGCGACCUUGAGUGCAACAGAGGUAGGCGGAAUUCGUGGUGUAGCGGUGAAAUGCUUAGAUAUCACGAAGAACUCCGAUUGCGAAGGCAGCUUGCUGGACUGUAACUGACGCUGAUGCUCGAAAGUGUGGGUAUCAAACAGGAUUAGAUACCCUGGUAGUCCACACAGUAAACGAUGAAUACUCGCUGUUGGCGAUAUACAGUCAGCGGCCAAGCGAAAGCAUUAAGUAUUCCACCUGGGGAGUACGCCGGCAACGGUGAAACUCAAAGGAAUUGACGGGGGCCCGCACAAGCGGAGGAACAUGUGGUUUAAUUCGAUGAUACGCGAGGAACCUUACCCGGGCUUAAAUUGCAACUGACUGAACCGGAAACGGUUCUUUCUUCGGACAGUUGUGAAGGUGCUGCAUGGUUGUCGUCAGCUCGUGCCGUGAGGUGUCGGCUUAAGUGCCAUAACGAGCGCAACCCUUAUCGAUAGUUACUAGCAGGUCAUGCUGAGGACUCUAUUGAGACUGCCGUCGUAAGAUGUGAGGAAGGUGGGGAUGACGUCAAAUCAGCACGGCCCUUACGUCCGGGGCUACACACGUGUUACAAUGGGGGGUACAGAAGGCAGCUACACGGCGACGUGGUGCUAAUCCCGAAAGCCUCUCUCAGUUCGGAUUGGAGUCUGCAACCCGACUCCAUGAAGCUGGAUUCGCUAGUAAUCGCGCAUCAGCCACGGCGCGGUGAAUACGUUCCCGGGCCUUGCACACACCGCCCGUCA